rnacentral:rRNA from 1 species
GGAGUUUGGACCGUGUCUCAGUUCCAAUGUGGGGGACCUUCCUCUCAGAACCCCUACUGAUCGAUGGCUCGGUGGGCCGUUACCCCGCCGACUACCUAAUCAGACGCAUCCCCAUCGCACAGCGAUAAAUCUUUGUUCCCAGUCAGAUGCCAUCAAGGGAAAACAUAGGGCAUUAAUUCGACUUUCGCCGGGCUAUCCUCUAGUAAGGGGAAGGUUGGAUACGCGUUACUCACCCGUGCGCCGGUCGCCAUCACAGAUAGCAAGCUACCUGCAUGCUGCCCCUCGACUUGCAUGUGUUAAGCCUGUAGCUAGCGUUCAUC